UACGAAGGGGGCUAGCGUUGCUCGGAUUUACUGGGCGUAAAGGGCGCGUAGGCGGACAGUUAAGUCAGGGGUGAAAUCCUGGAGCUCAACUCCAGAACUGCCUUUGAUACUGAAGAUCUUGAGUUCGGGAGAGGUGAGUGGAACUGCGAGUGUAGAGGUGAAAUUCGUAGAUAUUCGCAAGAACACCAGUGGCGAAGGCGGCUCACUGGCCCGAUACUGACGCUGAGGCACGAAAGCGUGGGGAGCAAACAGG
rnacentral:rRNA from 1 species